ensembl:lncRNA
GGAAGUUGUGUGUUUUACAUGGCGUAUUGAUACCAGCCAUUCGAGGAAAAGAAAAAUCCGAAGCUAUCUUGAUUAGCAGCGGAAACUGCCGCGGUUACAGAAGCAAGUCUUCAUAAAAGUUGUCAAAAAGUGUUCAGAUGUUAUCGGCUAACAUUUCAAUAGUGAGCUGAAUGUUAGACCGAGCUGCCGAAACCAGCAGAGGUGGCGGCUAAGUUAAUAGUGUUCCACGUGUCUUGGUCAGGUCUUUUAGUGAGCUUUGAGCUCCACGAGAAAAGACCAGUGAUUCCAAUUGAUGGCGAGCCUCCCAGUGUGAUUUCCAGGAUCCAGAUCUGCACAACCAGUCAGACGGCCAAAGGUUUAUCUGGUUUCUGGUAGGAUUCCAUCAGUCACCCCGACUGGCAACGGUGAACAGAUAAAAAGAGUGCACUCUAGACUAUAAAAACACUAAGUGUGAAACUUCACUGGACCCCCUUUUUGCUGACUGACAGAUCAUUACAGAUCAGUCCCUCAUUCGAUCUGUGUUUUGACUUGACUGACCCUCUACUCUAUAAACUCUGAGGAACAAACUGAACUAUAAGGUUGCAACUAGAGAUGGCACGAUACCACUUUUUUAUGUCCGAUACCGAUAUCAUAAAUUUGGAUAUCUGCCGAUACCGAUAUGAAUCCGAUAUUGUGUUUUUUAAUCAAUAAAACUGUUUUUUUUUUAAUUUCUUGCUGCAUUUUGUAUAAGUUCAUACUCAAGUUUAAAUAAACAACAACACUAAAGCUAUUCUGUUAUACCUGUGUGUAAAAAAUACGCUGCACCCAAAAUAUUUCAUAGUUCAGCAACACUGAUCAAUCUAAUAAACCUUACCUAACUUAAAACCUAACUUAAACCUGCUCCAUCCUCCCUAUUCUGGUAUUUUAAAGAGUACUUAGCAGAAAUAUUAAGCAACCCAACUAAUAGGGUUGUAAACUCCCACAAAAAAAAAAAAAAAAUAGAGAACCACCCACCCUCCACCUCAUGAUGCUUAAUCGAUGUAAUCAACUUUAAUUUGAUGCAGGGUGAAAAAAAAAAUGC